rnacentral:rRNA from 1 species
UACGAAGGGGACUAGCGUUGUUCGGAAUCACUGGGCGUAAAGCGCACGUAGGCGGAUUCGUAAGUCAGGGGUGAAAUCCCGGGGCUCAACCUCGGAACUGCCUUUGAUACUGCGGGUCUUGAGUCCGAUAGAGGUGGGUGGAAUUCCUAGUGUAGAGGUGAAAUUCGUAGAUAUUAGGAAGAGCACCGGUGGCGAAGGCGGCCCACUGGAUCGGUACUGACGCUGAGGUGCGAAAGCGUGGGGAGCAAACAGG